rnacentral:rRNA from 1 species
UACGAAGGGGGCUAGCGUUGUUCGGAAUUACUGGGCGUAAAGCGCGCGCAGGCGGCUUCUCAAGUCAGGGGUGAAAGCCCAGAGCUCAACUCUGGAACUGCCCUUGAAACUGUGGAGCUUGAGUACGGUAGAGGUGAGUGGAAUUCCCAGUGUAGAGGUGAAAUUCGUAGAUAUUGGGAAGAACACCGGUGGCGAAGGCGGCUCACUGGACCGUUUCUGACGCUCAUGCGCGACAGCGUGGGGAUCAAACAGG